rnacentral:rRNA from 1 species
ACUGUGAGCUCGAUGAGUAGGGCGGGACACGUGGUAUCCUGUCUGAAUAUGGGGGGACCAUCCUCCAAGGCUAAAUACUCCUGACUGACCGAUAGUGAACCAGUACCGUGAGGGAAAGGCGAAAAGAACCCCGGCGAGGGGAGUGAAAAAGAACCUGAAACCGUGUACGUACAAGCAGUGGGAGCCUCUUAAUGGGGUGACUGCGUACCUUUUGUAUAAUGGGUCAGCGACUUAUAUUCUGUAGCAAGGUUAACCGAAUAGGGGAGCCGAAGGGAAACCGAGUCUUAACUGGGCGUUAAGUUGCAGGGUAUAGACCCGAAACCCGGUGAUCUAGCCAUGGGCAGGUUGAAGGUUGGGUAACACUAACUGGAGGACCGAACCGACUAAUGUUGAAAAAUUAGCGGAUGACUUGUGGCUGGGGGUGAAAGGCCAAUCAAACCGGGAGAUAGCUGGUUCUCCCCGAAAGCUAUUUAGGUAGCGCCUCGUGAAUUCAUCUCCGGGGGUAGAGCACUGUUUCGGCAAGGGGGUCAUCCCGACUUACCAACCCGAUGCAAACUGCGAAUACCGGAGAAUGUUAUCACGGGAGACACACGGCGGGUGCUAACGUCCGUCGUGAAGAGGGAAACAACCCAGACCGCCAGCUAAGGUCCCAAAGUCAUGGUUAAGUGGGAAACGAUGUGGGAAGGCCCAGACAGCCAGGAUGUUGGCUUAGAAGCAGCCAUCAUUUAAAGAAAGCGUAAUAGCUCACUGGUCGAGUCGGCCUGCGCGGAAGAUGUAACGGGGCUAAACCAUGCACCGAAGCUGCGGCAGCGACACUAUGUGUUGUUGGGUAGGGGAGCG